rnacentral:rRNA from 11 species
AACUCCAGAACCAGUUUAAAUAACUGCACCAGAUUUCAUAUGAACUUAGAUGCUAAGCGGGGCUAGCCCUGGCUAGUACUUUGAUGGGGGAUGACCAAUGAAUGCCAGGUUUGUAGUUG